AUUAGAACAGGAAGUUCGUUUGACGUGAGCAACAGAGAAUGAAUCAAACUUACACGGCAGAGGCUGCUGCUGUACUGAAGGCAAUCCCCGCUGUUAGUGAAACAGUGGAGAGAAAAUGAAAUACAUGCGUAGGUGCUAAAAGCUGCUGGUUGAACAGUUUAUCCAGAGAGGGGACUUGCAAGGUGCUAAGCAUGCUAUAGUCAAUUCGACAGGAAAAGGACAAGGAGAAGAAAAAAGGAAGAGGCAGAAGCAGAGGGGGAAGAAGAGGACAGUUAACAGUUGUUUGUUAGCUGGUUCAUCACUGUGAAGAUUAUUCCGGCCUCCUGGCAUGCUGUGAGGGCCUGACAGGAAAGAUGGUGCCGGACCAAAACUCCGGGAGUCUGGAAAUGAUGCAUGGUGUGCGCCAGCAGACUUCAUUCAGCUGUGACUGCAGAAUGCUUGCACCAGAUUUAAGUUUGAAAACAUCACAAAUGGAAUAAUCAGCAUUCCCAAGUACUUAUUGUUAAUUUUUGUUGCUGUUGUUCAGUUGUUCCAGCUGUUGUCAAAGCUGAGAUUUGUUUUGUUUUGUUUCUCCUGUUUUCCAUCUGUGAGACGCUUCUUUUGUUUUUUGAAGAACUUCAGUUAGUACUUUUAGAUAAUCCAUCACCUGGAUGACUGAGAAUCUUACUAGAAAAGUAGCGCAUCCAUUUUUUUAAAUUUUUUUUUUUAAUAAUAAUGGAAUGAACAACGCACAGUAGUAGUAGCCUGUAGAGAAUGCAAGAACUGUAGGGUGAGGCUAAAGCUUCAUGAAAUUCAGUGGUAUUUUGUUAAAUGUUUGACUUCCUGAUCUCCAUUUUUUUUAAAUAUGUUGUUUGAGAGCUGUGCAUGCUAUAGACAAUGACUUAGUGGCACUGAAAGUGGAAACAUUUUAUUCAUGAAAAAAUCAUAGAAAGCUUGCAUAUUGUUCUAGAUGAAUGGAUAUGACUACUCAAAAAACAUUGUUUCAUCUUCAAAUAAAUGCACCAAAGUACAUUUAAAAACUGUGCACAUUGACAUCUUGUAUACGUUUUGUUUUCAGACCACCUAGAUGGUAUGCAAAUGGUCCAACACUUUUUUGACUAGAGUAUGAUGCAACACACCCUAUGGAAUUACUCACCUUACCUCCAGUAACGAAUUGAGUCCACUAUAAUGUCGGUGACUUUAAAUGAGCGCUCAGUUAUGCCUUUUCAUUGCUUCCUAUUUGCUGCGGUCGGGCCUAAGGUUAACAUGGACUAUUUAUUAAGUUUCUCCAGCAAACUCUUUUUAAAAUGAAAAUAUGGAUUAUAAUAAUAUUAGAAAUCCAGGGAGAGUUUUCUUUUUCUUUUUUUUUUAAAUUCUAUUUCAUUUUGUGUAUCCUUAGGGAUCCCACUGUACAAUUUUUUUUUUUUUUCCCCUGUAUCUAUGAGUUGAGACUACUUUUAGUAGAAUAGUAUCACUUCAGGUUUGCCAUCAUUUGUACAAAAUCUAAAAUAUGAUUGAAUGUAUGUUACAGCACAAUGGAUGACACAGAUUUUGCAUGCGUGACUUUUGACACCAUUCCUUCAAUGCUUCUAUGCUCUCUGUGUGUGUAUAUUCCCCUUCCAGUGAAUGAAGUGUGUUAGUUGUGUUGUGUACGCAGCGGAAGGGAUUUGAAGAGGUUUGCAUUCAAACCAUUUAACAGCAUGUCAUUAGUCCUGCCAGUUGCUUUAAUUACUGAGGAAAGCAUGCGUCUGAACAUACAUGUACAGUAAAUAUGCAUUUACUGGACAAUGUAUGAGAUGUCAUUGCAUGGAAGGAUUUUCACUAAUAAAGUCCUAUUUUUUGCAGAGGGUUUUCUGCAGUGAGCUUAUGAGCAUACAGCCUUUUGCCAGUGCUACUGUACGGUCCUACACAUUGAAACGCGCUUUUCUGCUGGAAAGCAUCCAUCUCCCUUUCACCUGCAUCCGUGCAAGCCUAACUGUUGCUCCACCCUCCGAAAGUCGACAAAAGAUGUGCCUGGGAUGAGUCUGCCGCCACUCCUGGUGUACAGCGUGCCUCGUGCUGGCGCUGCUGCGAUGCCACUACAAGUGGGGGCUUAGGGGAAAGUGUUUCCUACUGUUCAAAAUACACCAAGGGAGCCCCAGAUCGGCGUCCACCUGUUAUUUCUAGCCUGCAGGUCGAGUAUCGAGGGCUGACCA